AAGCGGGAAGCGAGCCCUGAGAUGAGUCUUCCCUGAUACUUUAAGUAUCCUAAAGGGUUGUUCGAGACUAGAACGUUGAUAGGCAGGGUGUGUAAGCGUUGUGAGGCGUUGAGCUAACCUGUACUAAUUGCCCGUGAGGCUUAACCAUACAACACCCAAGGGGUUU
rnacentral:rRNA from 1 species